rnacentral:lncRNA from 1 species
AUGCCAAAGUUCGCUCCUCCGACAAACUUUUCAUUUGAUAAGCCAGGAGAAUGGCCGGAGUGGAAGCAACGUUUUGUGAGAUUCAGAAUCGCCACCAAGCUGGACAAAGAAGAUGGUGCCGUGCAGGUGAGCAGCCUGAUAUACGCUAUGGGAAGCGAGUCGGAGAACAUCUUCCGUUCGUUUACAUUCACAGAGGAUGAACAUAGAGAUGAUUAUGUUAGGGUGCUUGGACAGUUCGAUGAUUACUUUGUGCCGAGAAGGAAUGUAAUACACGAACGUGCAUGUUUCCAUCUGCGCGUGCAAAGACCGGGAGAGAAAGCUGAAACUUUUAUCAGGGCUUUGUACGAACUGGCAGAGCAUUGCGAAUUCGGCGGGAACAGGGAUGAGAAUAUCCGCGACCGAAUCGUAGUGGGGAUUCUCGACAAAGAGGUCUCACGGAAGUUGCAGCUGACGAAGAACCUAACACUAGCGCUGACCAUUGAGACUGUCAGGCAGUCGGAAGAGGUUGCUUCGCAAGUCAGCAUGCAAGGAGAGACAACGGGGGUGAUACAAGAAGUCACUCACGAGCGCAGCAGAUACCCCAGUCACUACGGUAAGCCAAAAGGGGGAAAUAAAGGGCAAUGUGGACUGUGUGGGAAAGCGUGGCACAGUAAAGAUGAAAAUUGCCCUGCCAGAAAAUCUACAUGCAAUACAUGCAACAAAGUUGGACAUUGGAGUAGAGUGUGUAGGAGCAGGCAGGCAGUGAGUGAGGUUACAGAGCAAACAGAGCAGCAGCAACAGUUAUACUUUCUUGGGGCUGUGAGUAAAGCAGGCGGGUCGCCAGAGCAAUGGGCCGUCGAGUUACUGUUGGGCUCUACACCAGUUGACUUCAAAAUCGACACAGGGGCCGAUGUUAACGUCAUCUGCGAAGAGACCUACCACUCACUCAUCCCCAAAAGACCACUGGAGCCAGCAGAGAUACCACUGGACAGUCCAGGUGGCGAGCUGCAGUGCAUAGGACAGUUCCAGAGCACUGUGACCUACAAAGGAAAGACUCACCCACUCACAGCAUAUGUCAUCCGCGGACGUACUGUAAACAACCUACUCAGCAGGCCGUUGUCUGUGGAAAUGAAUCUAGUGAGGAGAGUGAAUGAAACAGUGUGCGACAGAGGACAUCCACAG